AAUUAAGUGAAGCUGAAUCUGAGGUACAAAGCCUCAGAACGGGGGAAACGUCACGUGGGGUGAAUCGCAGGAUAUUGCGUAGGGCAUACACCUUUUGCCCGAAUCCGUCAACUAACCUCGUAAGCAGGAAAGGUGGUCAAA
rnacentral:sRNA from 20 species